rnacentral:rRNA from 1 species
GAUGAACGCUGGCGGCGUGCCUAAUACAUGCAAGUCGAGCGAACAGACGAGGAGCUUGCUCCUCUGACGUUAGCGGCGGACGGGUGAGUAACACGUGGAUAACCUACCUAUAAGACUGGGAUAACUUCGGGAAACCGGAGCUAAUACCGGAUAAUAUAUUGAACCGCAGGGUUCAAUAGUGAAAGACGGUUUUGCUGUCACUUAUAGAUGGAUCCGCGCCGCAUUAGCUAGUUGGUAAGGUAACGGCUUACCAAGGCAACGAUGCGUAGCCGAUCUGAGAGGAUGAUCGGCCACACUGGAACUGAGACACGGUCCAGACUCCUACGGGAGGCAGCAGUAGGGAAUCUUCCGCAAUGGGCGAAAGCCUGACGGAGCAACGCCGCGUGAGUGAUGAAGGUCUUCGGAUCGUAAAACUCUGUUAUUAGGGAAGAACAAAUGUGUAAGUAACUAUGGACGUCUUGACGGUACCUAAUCAGAAAGCCACGGCUAACUACGUG